rnacentral:misc_RNA from 1 species
GAUGAAGAACGUAGCGAAAUGCGAUAAGUAGUGUGAAUUGCAGAAUUCAGUGAAUCAUCGAAUCUUUGAACGCACAUUGCGCCCCUUGGUAUUCCAUGGGGCAUGCCUGUUCGAGCGUCAUUUGUACCCUCAAGCUCUGCUUGGUGUUGGGUGUUUGUCCCACUUUACGCGUGGACUCGCCUUAAAGCAAUUGGCAGCCGGCAAUCUGGUUAUAGAGCGCAGCACAUUUUGCGCUUCUUGCCAUGGAUGUCGGCGUCCAUCAAGUACAUUUUUUUGCUCUUGACCUCGGAUCAGGUAGGGAUACCCGCUGAACUUAAGCAUAUCAAUAAGCGGAGGA